rnacentral:rRNA from 1 species
GCAAGUUGAACGGGAUGAUACCUUCGGGUGUCGGCGAGUAGCGCACGGGUGCGUAACGCGUAGGAAUAUACCAUAUAGUAGAGAAUAACUAUUAGAAAUGAUAGCUAAUACUCUAUAGUCCCUUCGGGGUAAGAUUUAUCGCUAUAUGAUUAGCCUGCGUUAGAUUAGCUAGUUGGUGAGGUAAUUGCUCACCAAGGCUACGAUCUAUAGCUGGUCUGAGAGGAUGAUC